UCAGGUUGGUGCAUUCUGGUCCAGGAAAAGGCUCACCGCAGUCUGGUGUGGAUUUGUCCUUUGCAACCCGUACCGGUACGAGGCAAGGGAUUGAAACACAUCUGUUCAGGACGGAGACGAGCAGAGACCUCUCACUGUGGACAAGGAGCAUCGUGCAGGGCUGUCACAAUUCUGCAGAGCUCAUCACAGAAAUCACAACAUCUUGCACAUACAAAAGCCAGGAGUGCCGUUUGACCAUCCAUUACGAACAUGGAUUCUCUCUUACAACUGAACCACAAGACGGUGCCUUCUCUAAGACAAUUGCACAAUACCCCUAUGAAAAACUGAAAAUGUCCUCAGACGAUGGGAUAAGGAUGCUUUAUUUAGACUUUGGAGGAAAAGAUGGAGAAAUUCAACUGGACCUUCAUUCCUGUCCAAAACCAAUUGUGUUCAUCAUUCAUUCCUUCCUGUCGGCUAAGAUUACAAGACUUGGUUUGGUGGCAUAAAUGGGAUACGCACAUCUGUUUCUUCAAAGAAAAGAGGAGCAACCACGCUCAUCUGAAGUACAGUCAUCACUGACAACCUGUAGCAGCGAGCAGCCCACACCAGACUGGAGUGCUAUCCCAGUCCUUGGUCACUUCUGUCAACUUUUCAAGGCCAAAUUAUGAUCAGCUGAAGAGGUGGCAUGACAAGGAAAACAAUGUAAAUAGUGGGAUUUUAAAAUCCCUUAUCAGACAGUAAAAGAGUGUAGUACCAUAUGUGUAAAUAUUUCAGAAUCAUAAAUCGUGCUUUUUUCAAUGUACUGGCUAAUACAGAAUAAGUAAAGGGCUAAGCAGAAAGGAGUGGGCAUUGGCUGUGAUGCAAACUCAAGGUUCUUUGAGUGGAAGUUCUAUAAACAAGAUUGUCCCAACACCUAGAAGUCACAUGCUGGUUCUUCUAACCUCUACACCACUUGUAGAGUUUCUUGUGAGAAGCCAUCAGAACACAGUGCUGCAUACCCAGCAGAGCAUGCAGACAUGCCUGUGUGAGUAGUGUGCUCCAAAGCAAUACUGAGGUGGUCAGUGACCAGCUGCACAGUCCCUGCUGAGAGGCACUUUCAAGUCAAAUGAUAGAGACAUCUUGUGGACAUUCCUAGCAAUGGAUCUGAUGCGGCGCUACCUGUAGGGAUGGCAGUGGGGCGUAGGCAGGGGGGGGAGCAUCCUCUGUAUGGACACACGGGAUGUGCUUUCAUAGUGGCUUUCCAGAAUGGUUCUCAUGACCUGGAGCUUCAGCUACCCAGGUUCCCAGGCUCAGGUGAGAGAUAGCCAAAUCCACUGGGGUGUGUGAACUGAGCUCCUGCCUGCACAUUUCCAAUUUAGAGUUUUCCAGCAGGAAGUCAGGCUAGGUCAUACUAGGAGCUUCCCAUCCUCCUGCUCCAACUUUGUCAACCCCACAGCUUUACCAGGUCUGGUUAUAUGGUCUUGAUUUUGCAUAUUUGCAAGGAGGAAGACUUUCUUUUGCAGGAAAGUUGCUUUUCUUUGGGAAACUGUGUGUUCAACUUGGUCCUGGA
rnacentral:lncRNA from 1 species